rnacentral:ncRNA from 1 species
AAAGGGGUGCUGGGUCCUUUCCCGGCUGAGACGGCGCGAAGCGAAGCGCCGAAACCCUCAAACCUGAUCCGGAUAAUGCCGGCGUAGGAAACAUCAGU